rnacentral:rRNA from 1 species
ACGAACGCUGGCAGCGUGCUUCACACAUGCAAGUCGAACGCGCCUGUCCUCUGGGUUUCUGGGGGGUGGGUGAGUGGCGAACGGGUGAGUAACACGUGAGUAACCUGCCCCCUUCUUCGGGAUAACGGUCUGAAAGGGCUGCUAAUACCGGGUAUUCACUGGUCUCCGCAUGGGGUCUGGUGGAAAGGUUUUUUUCUGGUGGGGGAUGGGCUCGCGGCCUAUCAGCUUGUUGGUGGGGUGAUGGCCCACCAAGGCUUUGACGGGUAGCCGGCCUGAGAGGGUGACCGGUCACAUUGGGACUGAGAUACGGCCCAGACUCCUACGGGAGGCAGCAGUGGGGAAUAUUGCACAAUGGGCGCAAGCCUGAUGCAGCGACGCCGCGGGAGGGAUGGAGGCCUUCGGGUUGUGAACCUCUUUCGCCCGUGGUCAAGCCGCGACGUGGGUCGUGGUGAGGGUAGUGGGUAAAGAAGCGCCGGCUAACUACGUG